rnacentral:lncRNA from 1 species
ACAAAUUUUAUUUAUAAAUCUCUCAUCUCUCAUAUGAUUUCAUCAAUGCCCAUUUCUUCUCUCUUUGAUGUAGUCAUUGAAGGUUGAAUCGUAGAUAUAGAAUAGAUAGCAGGCAUUUUUUCUUUAGAUGCUUGAAAUGGUCUUUGAAUUUCUUCCUAUCUUUUCUCCUUUCUCUUUUUGUAAGCACUUCAAUCGCUUCUUCUACUUUCUUCGAAUUUGUUGUAAAUCCUUCAACUUCUUCUUUAUCUUUCAGCAAAAUUUCCAACUUCUCUUGCAACUCUCCAUUAGCCGCUUGAAGAAAAAGCUCCACUUUACUUGGAUCUAAUAAUUACCUCUCCUUCUUUGAUAAACAAGAAUAUCGCUUUUCAAACUCCCUUAAUAACUCUAUUACUAGUAGAUCCUUCUUAGGCCUUUCAAUCCAUUCAAAAAAUGACUUCUUUGUAAUUCAAUCACUAUCUUCUAAAAAAUACUCAUCCUUUAAUACUUGAGAUAAUUUUUUCCAUGAACCUCUAGAAUGUCCUAUAAUGAACUUCAAAUGAUUUCUUAUUUUUGGUGUAAUAGCCAAUUCAAAUAGUUGAACCAUUUCCUUCUCU